AUGCAUGGUGCGCGUUUGCCGCUGUUCGAUCGGAUUCCUGGAGUGAAACGCGCUUCCGAAUUCGACCGGGAGUGGCGCUCUGCUCACGUCCGACUGGAGUACGGCCACCGCCUUGCCGAGAGAUAUAAGUCGAUUGGGGGCCUCGUGGUAGGCGAUUGUCGUCUUCCUUCCCAAUUUCUCCAUCCAAUCCUCCCCAUUUCUCCAUCCACUCCAAAAUCCAUCACAGGAGCUCGCGGAAAAGCCGCUGCCAUGGCCGCGCAGAUGCUCCGCCGGUGGAAGAGCUUCUACGGCGCCUUCGACUCCGUGGACGCCGCCAUCGAGGCCGCCGACCCAGACCAAUAUUCACGCCACGUGUUCCAGCGCGCGAGGGGUGACCUGUUGGAAGGGCUCGGCAACGCCGCCGACGAGGACCAGGCGGAGCGUAUCUGCGGGAUUCUCGACGACCUCAUGGCAGAGUCUCUCGAGACGCUCAGGGUGGUUCCAUCAACGCCGGGGGUGCCCAUCCCCACGGAACUCGCCGAGUCUGUGCGUGCGCUGCGGGAGCACGACUCGGAGCGCGUCCGCCUCCUCGCGCGCGGCAUCGUCAGCGGGUAA
rnacentral:rRNA from 1 species